AAAGAGCGAUGGCAAAGACUGAUUGACAGGACUUCAGACAGUGACAGCUGCAGCAGGAAAGGCUAACUUGAACAGGUAGAAGUUACUCUGCUACAGGAGGGAUCUUGCGAGACUGACAGCACGACGAGAAAUAUGGGGGAUAAUUCAUAACUCCUGGGGGGGAGUGUUUGUUUGUUUGUUUGUUUGUUUGUUUGUUUGUUUGUUUGUUUGUUUGUUUGUUUGUUUGUUUCAGGGAUCACGUGGGCCUCUGGAUCAUAGGAGUAGAUGCCGAGAACGCUCGGAGGUUCUACUGAGCACUUCGAUGAGACGACGACCACCAAUCGUCCCCGUGCCCCAAUCAACCCCAAAAGAGAAGAUUUUGUUUGCUGACGACUGGUUAUGGAGAUGUCGUUUACAAGGGAACCCGUGGACGCUGACCGGGGCCUGGAAAGAGACUCUGAGGACGGUGAAGUGGACAUAAAGAUUUUGGAUGGACGGCAGGCCCUGGGCAGUGAUCCCGGCGCAAUUCACUACUGAGCAUUCAGUGGACUGGACUUUGCAUCGACAG